UGGCCCCCCGCGCCGCAGCCGGCAUCGCGGCGGGACCCGGAGCCCGGAGUUCGGGUGGGUAACCCGAGCUCUCCAAGCUCUUGAAGCCGCGAGGGUGGCUUAGCUUCGGUGUUUUGGCUGAGAACACCCUUAAAGCUUAAAAUAAAACCUGCCUCUGGGGUGCAGGGGAGGAGAGAGGAGGACGCGAAUCACACCCGCUGCUGCGCGCCAGCCCGCCCCGUCUGUACAAUGGGAUGCUCGGGACUCGGACGGGAGGAUCCAGUGACUGCGAGCCCCGCAUUCGCCCGAUCCCAGCCUCACACCCCCAGCCAGCCCCCAGAGACCCUCCCACACUUACGAAGGAAAUGCAUGCGGCCAGGAGGAGAAUCCGCACCAGGAGCAGGGAGCUCUACCCAGGAAAAAGAAGAAAAGGACAGAUUCAUUUGGGGUUCAGCCUCAUGCCCCCCACACCCAAGACUUUGUGGCUAAGAGAAUCAGGCCACCUUGAGGUUCAUCAAGUUCAUCCCAUUAAAACCUCCCAAAACUCUGGA
rnacentral:lncRNA from 1 species